CGCUGGCGCAGCAGAGCCGCCCUUGGCGGAGCGUCUGUGCGGGCCCGGGAGCGGCGGCAGCGGCCGGAGCCCGAUUCAACUCCUGACAGCCACCAAAGGGGCCCCAGAGCUGCGGCGGCCCAAGUUCCUCUCGCCUUUGCUGCGUGACUUCCUGAGCUGCUGCCUGCAGAGAGACGAGGCGCGGCGCUGCUCUGCCAAGGAGCUGCUGCAGCAUCCAUUUGUAACAUCAGCCAAGCCUGUGUCCAGCCUGGUGCCACUCAUCAUUUCAGUGAAUAAGUAGAAGGAGGUGUUGCUAGAGGACACGAAGAGAAAUGAUACUCACACUUAAGUCGUCCAGAACAGAAGAAGAAACUUUAUUUUGAUUACCUUGCUUAUAUAGAUUCUGGACAAUGUCCAGGGAUUGGAGAACAAGGUUACCACCUCUCCAUCCCACUGUCCAGGCUAGAAGUCAAUCAGUUGUCCCUCAUCAGAAAGGAAUGCGAAAAACAACUCUUUGUUUAUGUUACAAGCCUGAGAAGACUCCACUACCGGAAUGUAAACAUCAGAAGGCUAACAGAAUAGGGCAACAAGGAGGAGACAAGAAUGUGACAAUCACUUUAGAACUGUUCUCCAUCACCAGCUUAGAGUAGGAUUGUAGAGUAGAAUUGCAGCAAGGAUUGUAGCAUAGGAUUGUAGCACAGGAUUGUAAAUAAAUAAAGUUUCUGAAACCUCAACUCAUUUCAAAGAUUCCCCUCCUUCUGAGCCUGUGAGAAAGCUCAACAUUUCCUGAGACAGAAACUUUAGAGAAUUAAGGAUUUUAGAGGGGUUAAGAUUUAAGUAAGAGAUAAACUUUGCUGGAAUUAACUAAAGUAGAUAGGUAGGCUUUGCUGAAAUUAAAAGUUAGUAAUUAACUAAGAGAAACAGGGUUUGCGAUCACUCUUCCAUAUUUGAAUAACUGAUUACUUGUCAACUUUAUGUUUGGUUAGCUGUGUUUAUAAUGAAGAAGAGAGAAACUGAUAAAUAGCUUUUAGGAACAUAAGACAAUUGUAGGCCUCCUCUGCCCAGCAACCCAUUGAACAGCCACAAAGACAGGAAACAGGAGUCCUACCAAGGGUUCAUUUAUCACAUUUGUAUUGAAAAGGUAGAAAGGUCAGAAUGAGGAAGACUUCUUUACUUCCUCAUUUUGGGGACCCCUCUCCAUGAAAAGGACCACCAAUGCAUUUCAAAGAACAAACUACGCAUGCUUAAUUGCCUUUUAGCUAAUUACCAUAAGAACCAGGGAAUGGGAUGUACCAGCAUUAUGAAUAUGCAUUUGUGUUUUGGGUAUUCAAUACUUCUGUAAAUAAAAGGACUCUGGGAUCACCUA